rnacentral:rRNA from 1 species
UAGCCGUAAACGAUACUCGCUAGGUGUCGGCCACGGUGCGACCGUUGUCGGUGCCGUAGGGAAGCCGUGAAGCGAGCCACCUGGGAAGUACGGCCGCAAGGCUGAAACUUAAAGGAAUUGGCGGGGGAGCACCACAACGGGUGGAGCUUGCGGUUUAAUUGGAUUCAACGCCGGAAAUCUUACCGGGACCGACAGCAACAUGAAGGCCAGGUUGAUGACCUUGCUUGACAAGCUGAGAGGAGGUGCAUGGCGUAGUCGUGU